GUGGGGUAAUGGCCCACCAAGGCAACGACGGGUAGCCGGCCUGAGAGGGUGACCGGCCACACUGGGACUGAGACACGGCCCAGACUCCUACGGGAGGCAGCAGUGGGGAAUAUUGGACAAUGGGCGAAAGCCUGAUCCAGCAACGCCGCGUGAGGGAUGACUGCCUUCGGGUUGUAAACCUCUUUCAUCCAUGACGAAGCGCAAGUGACGGUAGUGGAAGAAGAAGCACCGGCCAACUACGUGCCAGCAGCCGCGGUAAUACGUAGGGUGCGAGCGUUGUCCGGAAUUAUUGGGCGUAAAGGGCUCGUAGGCGGUCUGUCACGUCGGGAGUGAAAACUCAGGGCUUAACCCUGAGCCUGCUUCCGAUACGGGCAGACUAGAGGUAUGCAGGGGAGAACGGAAUUCCUGGUGUAGCGGUGAAAUGCGCAGAUAUCAGGAGGAACACCGGUGGCGAAGGCGGUUCUCUGGGCAUUACCUGACGCUGAGGAGCGAAAGUGUGGGGAGCGAACAGGAUUAGAUACCCUGGUAGUCCACACCGUAAACGUUGGGCGCUAGGUGUGGGACUCAUUCCACGAGUUCCGUGCCGCAGCUAACGCAUUAAGCG
rnacentral:rRNA from 1 species